rnacentral:rRNA from 1 species
GUCUUUAAGAUUUUAAUUUAAAGUCCAAUNUGCCCAAUGAAUUUUUUAAAUGGCUGCAGAAUUUUUACUGUACUAAGGUAGCAUAAUAAUUUGUUUUUUAAUUAAAAACUAGAAUGAAAGAUUAAAUGAAAUAUAAUCUUUUUCAAUUAAAUUUUUAUUUUAAAAUUCUUAUUUAAGUUAAAAAACUUAAAUAAAUUUUAAAGACGAUAAGACCCUAUAGAAUUUUAUUAAUUUAUUUUAUUUUUUUAUAAAUAAAAAUAAAUUAAUUUUAUUGGGGUAAUAAAAAAAUUUAAUAAAUUUUUUUUUUAUAAAACAUAAAUAAAUGAAGUUUAUUAUCUUAAUUUUUAAAUUAAAUAAUUAAUUACCUUAGGGAUAACAGCAUAAUUUUUUUUGAAANAUCCUAUUUAUAAAAAANAUUAU